AAAACAAAAACAAUAACGAAUUAGAUCUUCCAUUAAUUCUAAUAAAUUCUUUGGCAAUCUCAAUCGAUUAAAAAUUUAUUUUUAAUCCGUUACAUCCCUCGAGCGUUGUGACAUCGUGUUUCGGAGAGAAUCAGUCCAUUGGAUUAACAAAACCAUCUACAAGGAUCACAUCACCCUCAAAGAUUACGAGAUCCACGACGGCAUGGGCCUCGAGCUCUACUACAACUAAAAUUCCUCUUCAAAGGUGCUAUUAAUGGCGUAAGAUAGUAUGUGCUGAGAACUGGAUAAAUGUGUCCAAUGUAAUUUUUGACUUGUAAAAGAAAAGACUCCUUUGAUUGGAAUAAUGCCCAUACCCAAUGAUAUUGGGUUUAAUUUGCUGUUGGAACAAUCUGUUGUAAUUUAACGUGUUUUUGGUCAUGAAUAUGGAAUAAUUUUUAGGUAUC